GUACCCCAAACCGACACAGGUGGUCAGGUAGAGAAUACCAAGGCGCUUGAGAGAACUCGGGUGAAGGAACUAGGCAAAAUGGUGCCGUAACUUCGGGAGAAGGCACGCUGAUGGUAGGUGAAGCGACUUGCUCAUGGAGCUGAAAUCAGUCGAAGAUACCAGCUGGCUGCAACUGUUUAUUAAAAACACAGCACUGUGCAAACACGAAAGUGGACGUAUACGGUGUGACGCCUGCCCGGUGCCGGAAGGUUAAUUGAUGGGGUUAUCCGUAAGGAGAAGCUCUUGAUCGAAGCCCCGGUAAACGGCGGCCGUAACUAUAACGGUCCUAAGGUAGCGAAAUUCCUUGUCGGGUAAGUUCCGACCUGCACGAAUGGCGUAAUGAUGGCCAGGCUGUCUCCACCCGAGACUCAGUGAAAUUGAACUCGCUGUGAAGAUGCAGUGUACCCGCGGCAAGACGGAAAGACCCCGUGAACCUUUACUAUAGCUUGACACUGAACAUUGAGCCUUGAUGUGUAGGAUAGGUGGGAGGCUUUGAAGUGUGGACGCCAGUCUGCAUGGAGCCAACCUUGAAAUACCACCCUUUAAUGUUUGAUGUUCUAACGUAGACCCGUGAUCCGGGUUGCGGACAGUGUCUGGUGGGUAGUUUGACUGGGGCGGUCUCCUCCCAAAGAGUAACGGAGGAGCACGAAGGUUAGCUAAUCCUGGUCGGACAUCAGGAGGUUAGUGCAAUGGCAUAAGCUAGCUUGACUGCGAGCGUGACGGCGCGAGCAGGUGCGAAAGCAGGUCAUAGUGAUCCGGUGGUUCUGAAUGGAAGGGCCAUCGCUCAACGGAUAAAAGGUACUCCGGGGAUAACAGGCUGAUACCGCCCAAGAGUUCAUAUCGACGGCGGUGUUUGGCACCUCGAUGUCGGCUCAUCACAUCCUGGGGCUGAAGUAGGUCCCAAGGGUAUGGCUGUUCGCCAUUUAAAGUGGUACGCGAGCUGGGUUUAGAACGUCGUGAGACAGUUCGGUCCCUAUCUGCCGUGGGCGCUGGAGAAUUGAGGGGGGCUGCUCCUAGUACGAGAGGACCGGAGUGGACGCAUCACUGGUGUUCGGGUUGUCAUGCCAAUGGCAUUGCCCGGUAGCUAAAUGCGGAAAAGAUAAGUGCUGAAAGCAUCUAAGCACGAAACUUGCCCCGAGAUGAGUUCUCCCUGACUCCUUGAGAGUCCUGAAGGAACGUUGAAGACGACGACGUUGAUAGGUCGGGUGUGUAAGCGUAGCGAUUAGUGUGGGGUCUCCCCAUGUGAGAGUAGGGAACUGCCAGGC
rnacentral:rRNA from 1 species